CCUANGGGGGGCAGCAGUGGGGAAUAUUGGACAAUGGGCGCAAGCCUGAUCCAGCAAUGCCGCGUGUGUGAAGAAGGCCUGCGGGUUGUAAAGCACUUUUAUCGGGAAAGAAAAGCUUAGGGCUAAUAUCUCUAAGCCUUGACGGUACCCGUUGAAUAAGCACCGGCUAACUCCGUGCCAGCAGCCGCGGUAAUACGGAGGGUGCAAGCGUUAAUCGGAAUUACUGGGCGUAAAGCGAGUGUAGGUGGCUGCAUAAGUCGGAUGUGAAAGCCCUGGGCUUAACCCUAAAACUGCCUUAGAAACUGUUUUACUUGAGUCAGUGAGGGGAGGGCGGAAUUCCUGGUGUAGCGGUGAAAUGCGUAGAUAUCAGGAGGAAGGCCUGUGGCGAAGGCGGCCCUCUGGCACUGUACUGACGCUGAGGCGCGAAAGCGUGGGUAGCAAACAGGAUUAGAUACCCGUNUANUC
rnacentral:rRNA from 1 species